GGAGGAAUACCCAAGUCCGGCUGAAGGGAUCGGUCUUGAAAACCGACAGGGGCUUAACGGCUCGCGGGGUUCGAAUCCCUCUUCCUCCGCCA
rnacentral:tRNA from 1 species